UUACACCAAAUUCUUGCACCCUGAACACACCUGAUCUCAGAAGCUAAGCAAGGUCAGGCUGGUUAAUAUUUGGAUGGGAAACCUCCUGGGAAUAUUGGGUGCUGUGUGGU
rnacentral:rRNA from 1 species